rnacentral:rRNA from 1 species
AGCCACAGUCAUAUCACCCUGCAGCCCAAGACUGGUUGCCCACUAAAGCUAAGCAGGGUUGAGCCUAGUCAGUACCUGGAUGGGAGACCUCCUGGGAAAACUAGGUUGCUGCUA